rnacentral:snoRNA from 1 species
GGCAAAUGAUGUCUUUCUCACGAUGGUCUUCUUAGCCUCAUGGUGAAGGGGCUCUGCCGACAUUGCCGCAUGGCUUUGCUGAUGCCUAGCU